GCGCCUGUAGCUCAGUGGAUAGAGCAUAUGCCUUCUAAGCAUGUGGUCGUAGGUUCGACUCCUAUCAGGCGCGCCA
rnacentral:tRNA from 1 species